rnacentral:rRNA from 1 species
UGCGCCACAGAGGUAAGCGUUUUUGGGAUCGUGCUCGUCGCGGCGGCGGCGGCGGUAGGAGCGGCCUCCUCUACUCACCUCUCCCCCUCCCCCUCUCCUCCCACGACCUGUAGGAGCGCCCGAGGCUGCUGCUGAGCCUGCCGGGGCGGCUCCUGAUGAGCUUGUAGGUCUAGCUGCUCCCCAUGCGGGCGGCGAUGCUCGUGUUGUUCGCCGCGCUCCGCUACGUCGCGGAGUUCCUCUUCUUCUUCUUCCCGCAGCAGCGGCUGGGGCUGCUGCUCCUGCUGCUGCUGAGGCUGCUGCUAAGCCUACUCCUGCUCCGGCAGCGGCGGCGGAGCGCGGCGCAGCUGGCGGCGCACGAGGUCCAGUAGGCGGCGUAGGCGUCGCCGCUGUCGCGGUAGAAGCUGUUCCUGCGGUUCCACAUGAGGAGGAGCAGCCUCCUCCUGCUCCUGCUGCGGCUCCCCCUCGGGUUCCUCCCCUUCUUCCGGUUCUUCCUCGGGUUCCUCCCCUUCUUCCGGUUCUUCCUCGCCGGUGACAUGGAGUUCCUGCAGUUGCGGGUCGUGGACUAGCUCCUCCCGGGGCUCAAACGGCGCGUCUGACCGGCGCCGUCGUUCAUGCUGGCCUAACGGAUGUUGCUCGAGGUCUCCCUCCCCGACUUCCUCAAGGAACUCCGCCUCUUCUUCCGUAACCCCCUACCGCUACUGCUCCUCCUGCUAGACAAGUUCCGCUUCGUCCGACUUCCUCUACUGCCGCUGUCGCUUCUCCUGCUUCUGCUCUUCGUCUGGCUCCUCGACAACCAACUCCAAAAACCCCUACUACUGUUCGACCUACUUUUACUCUUCAAAAACUUCUUAAUGUAGGAGUUAUCCGGGAUGGAACUUGGUCACGGCCUAUUCAAGAGCGACCUACUAUAGGUCCUCCAGAGUGUCCUUCUCCUACACUAGCUUUGAGUCCUCCUGAUACUCCUAUAAAUAUUAUUCAACCCCUUAAUAUUUAAGGCCGUACUCCUCCACCUUCGAAGUCUCCCUCACCACUGACUAGCCCAUUACCCUGUAGGGGCCCAACAACUCCCCAGACACUCCUUCUUCCUCUCGUCGUCUUUCUUCGUCGCCUUCUCGUUUCUCCUUGCCGAACGCGCUCGGUUCGUCCUCGUCCGUCUCCUCGACUUCGUAGAGUUCUUAAACUUCUUCUUUCUCUAGCGACUCUUCGAACUCUUCUAGGCCUACUAACGACCUCAACUUCCCCUUCGACGGACAUUCGAACCACGUCUACUGAACCUCCUUCUAAAACUAGGUCUCCUAAUACUGUCCUUUUACGUCCUCUACAAACUACUGUCGAUGAUACCACGACUACUCCAACUAGGACCCAAACCUUCACCUCUACUAAAUCUAAACCAGUUUGGACUAAAACUGUUCCUUCUACUUAACGAACCCGAUGGGUUUCUAACCCGAGAACUACCAUUUCUUCCCAGAUGACGGUGACCACUCUUCUUCUUUUUCUUCUUCUUUUUAUUCCUCGAACGUUUACCACUCCUCCUUCCACUCUUUUUCUUCCCCUUCUAGAGAGAGUUCCUGUUCCACCUCGAACUCUUCCUCGAACUACUCAUAAUAUUCGAUCUGAUGCUCCUGUGGUAACCUCUAGACUUCUGUGCCAAGUUCAUAUCCGUUCAAGUCGGUUUGUCAAAACCGGACCUCUGCAUACUCUAUGACGUUAGUCUACUGUCCCUAGACUUGGUUAUACAUAGGUACUUCUUCGAUCGUGGUAUAUCCCUCCUACUUACCGUCCACUGAGUAGUAUUCUUCGACUCGUUUCUAAACUAGGAACCUCCUGUCUUCUAUCUUCCGUUUUUCCAGUUUAGAGUGUUCUUUAGAUUCAGACCCCUCCCGGGAUCAAGGCCCUCCGGUCUCUGUCUAUUCGGUUGUUCACUUGUUCUUCUUUGUCUACCAUUCUGACUCAGUUUUUCGUUCUUCGUGUUCUGACCCUUCUCUAGGUCCAGGCUCCUACCAGGACCAAGACUUUACCGUCUCCUUCAGUUCCACUGUUCACUCGUUCUUGUACGUCUACGGUUCUGACUCAGUUUUUCGUUCUUCGUGUUCUGACCCUUCUCUAGGUCCAGACUCCUAACAGGACCAAGACUUUGCCGUCUCCUUCAGUUCCACUGUUCACUCGUUCUUCUACGUCUACGGUUCUGUUUUAGUUUCUUCUCGUUCUUCCAGUCCUGACCGCUCCUUAGGUCCAGACUCCUUGUGGGAUCAAGACCUUUCGGUCUCCUCCCGUUCAAUUCUUCACUUCUUCUUUGUCCACCGUUCUUUUUUAGUUGAUCUUCACUCGCUUCCUUGGCAGCUUCCUUCCUCAACUUUUAUAGGUCCCUGUCCGUCCCCCGUAUGCCCAACUAUCUAGACUUCUCAGUCUUCUUGUUAACUAAAACCCCUAAGUCGUAUCAAGUAUACCUAUGAAAUCAAAAAGUUACGUGGAGACACACCCACAAGGCAUCACCUUUGUAGACAAACUUGGUAGUCAUAUGAUAGAUUCAUCCUAUAACAGCAGAUUAAAGCCGUCAAUACUUGGGUGACAAUAGGAUCAUCGUUGGAAAAACAGAGACUUUCAAAGCUUCUGCCAGGUAAGCACUUUCUAACUAAACCAAAACGACAAUAUCAAAACAAAGCGAACACUAAAGAACUACUCUCCAAAUUUCCUUACCAAUAGAAAGAUUUAACAGU